UACGGGGGGGGUAAGCGUUGUUCGGAAUUACUGGGCGUAAAGGGCUCGUAGGCGGCCAACUAAGUCGGACGUGAAAUCCCUCAGCUUAACUGGGGAACUGCGUCCGAUACUGGAUGGCUUGGAUUUGGGAGAGGGAUGCGGAAUUCCAGGUGUAGCGGUGAAAUGCGUAGAUAUCUGGAGGAACACCGGUGGCGAAGGCGGAUUUCUGGGCCAUUACUGACGCUGAGGAGCGAAAGCGUGGGGAGCGAACAGG
rnacentral:rRNA from 1 species